AUUUCAUAAGGGCGGUAGAUCUAUGACAGAUACACACCAAGCCCUGUGAUUCAUUGCCUGAGAUGGGCAGGAGGAGGGGAGGGGGCAAAUUGAGAAGUUAAACAAAUAAACAAGCAAUGUGUAAGUGAUUUUAUAAAAAAAAAAAAAUAGUGAAAGAGCCAAGUCAGGGAGCAAGAAAAUAAAGGCAGACUGAAACUCACACUCUGUUUUCACCAGCUCUCCCUGCCCUCCCACACCCUAAAAAACGUUUCAGUUUCAUGCACACGGUGGCUCCGAGGACUCUGGCAAGUGGCCGUGUCACAGGGAGGCUGCUGAUGAGGGAUGAGGUCAUUGUAGAGAAAAGACCGCCUGCCACUGCUUUUUCGCUGCACCAACCAUGAGCUUCAGGCUUCUCUGCUGUGUCGCCCUUCUCUGGCGAGCCGGCUCAAUGGACACUGAGGUCACCCAGAACCCUAGACACCUGCUCAAAGGCAAAGGACAGACAGCAAAGAUGGAUUGUGUCCCUAUAAAAGGACAUAGUUAUGUUUAUUGGUAUCAUCAGAAGCUGGGAGAAGAGCUCCAGUUUUUGGUUUACUUACAGAAUAAGGAUAUUGUUGAUAAAACAGAAGUGUUUGAUCAGCAAUAUUCAGCUCAAUGUCCCACAGACCAACCAUGCAGCCUGGAAGUCAAUUCCACCGAGCCAGGGCACUCCGCAGUGUAUUUCUGUGCCAGCAGCUAAU